ACCGGGAAAGGGGAUAACAUUUAAAAUGUUAAAAAACAAAUCCAAUAAAAGGAAAAAAAUAAUUUAUUUCUCUGAGAAGAGGAAAGUAUUUUUCCCAUAAUAUAUACCUUUUUCUAUCAACAGAGUAAAUGACCUCAUCACAUCAGGCAUUCCUUUCUGUCCAAUAGAAGGUGGACAGAGUUUUACAGAAAACAAUUUUAGAACAAAGGGGAAAGUAAUUAAACAACUUUCAUUUUGGACAAGCAGACGUUGGAAUUCAGUGAGUGGGAGAGCAGUGUGCCCCUGUGAACUGGCUGUGCAGAGAGGACACAAAGUGGAGAGGGAAUGUACGUAUGUUUCUGAGAGAGCUGUCUUCUGUGGUCAUCGCCACCAUCCCCCCAUGGACCUUGACUUUUGCCCUUUGAAUAAUGUUAAAAUUAAAACAAAUCUUAGACAUCUUGUGGUUUAGUAACUGUCAGUUUCUUUCUUUUUUGUUUUUAUUCCUUUUUUUUUUUUUUUUUUUUUGUCUCCCUUCCUUCUGGAAGGCUCUCCUUCCUUCCUUCCUUUAUAUUUUUUUGUAACAGGAUCUUGCUUUGUAGCCCAAGCUGGCCCUGAACUCAAAAGAAUCUUCCUGCAUCAACUCCACCAUUACAGGGAUUAUAAUGUGCUCUAGUGUUCCAAAGGAAGUGGAUUUCAUUUAGAUUGUCAAUUCAAAUCUGUUACACAGUGGCUCCUCGACACGCUUUAUUGAGUGUUCAGAAGCAGUUAUCCAAUGUUCCUUUCGUGAAGCUCCCUUAACCCCACUACCUCUGUGUUCAAGAUCAAUCCAGAAUGUCACACAAACCAGGCAAUCAUUGUACCACACAGCACUCAACUUCCUAGCUUCUCAAUUUGGUAUAAAAGAUCAGUGGUUGAUUAUUAAUGUUUGAAAUGGCACAAAAAUUACAGGAUAUAUUCUAGGUUAUUUUUUCUGGUCAACCUUUGACUUUUAUCUUUGAGGAGACUGAGGGUUCAGCUGGUUACUAGUGAUCACCCACCUGCUAUGGACAGAAUCAGAAAAAGGAUGACAUUUCUCAACCCUUGGUCUUCUGUUUAUCCCACACAAACAAAUUGAGUUCCCCUUUGAAGGCCAUACUUCAUUGAGCCAUACUGAACCAUACUCAGUUCAGUAUGUAAAUAUUAGUUACAUAUUAAAUUUUGGAUUUUGAAAGGGAUUGAUCUAACCUAGUUUAUUGAGGAUACGUUAUUGUAUUUAUUUUUUUAUAAAUAUUCCUUACAAAUCGGGGAGAUGUAAUUGGGUCUAAUAUAAAUCCGACCAUGGCAGUCUUUUUUUAAGUAACUGUCUGAAAGUUCAGGAACAAUUGAUCCUGAAAUGGUUGGUUUCAAAGCCUAGGCUUAGUCCACGGGAGGUCAGGGCUCUGGAGUCUCUUGGCGCACAGUGUAUUUGUAUUUACUGAGCUCACGCCUAGCAGAGUUCCCUGAAGAUUCCACUUUUCCACAUUCUGUUUAAUUGGUUCCCCAAGGACGGAAUGACAAUGUGUUUUUCACCAGAGAAAGCACGCAAACAAAUACAAGAAGAGGGUUUCCACAUGGAAGACCUCUGAAGCGGAGGGCAGAGAGAAAGUCAACGUCAGGUCUUCAUUUUUCUCCUCACGAAGCAGUCUAAGGACAAAGUAUAACAUAUGCUGACAAGACCAUAAGCUGCCGCUGCCCUUGCAAUUGUUCCAAUAAUUAAAUUCCUCUAGUUGCACGCUUCUCGAGGCCGUCAGGUGACCUUUAAUAGCGGCCUGGAAUGGUUCCUUCCUCCGGGGAGGUUCAGGUCACACUGUCCUAAUGAAAGAUGGGAAAUGCCUGUCUGUGGAGUUCAUAAACUAAAAAGUUUGUGUUCGAGAUGUAAUAAUUCACUUGCAACUGGAUAUGAGGACAGGAGGUUUUCUCUUCUAGCCUACAUUGUAUGUUUGCGAUGUAUGCUGACAGUUUCUUAGAAUAUUUUAAAAAACUUUAAGGAUUCUUUUCCUUUAAUAACAUACUGGACCUGCCAGACAGUAGUGGCACAUGACUUUAGUCCCAGCACUUGGGAGGCAGAGGCAGGAGGAUCUCUGAGUUUGAGGCCAGCCUGGUCUACAGAGUGAGUUCCAGGACAGUCAGGGCUAUGCAGACAAACCCUGUUUUGCAAAAACUAAGAAAACAAAACAAAACAAAAACCAAAAACAUAUUGGACCUGUAGACUUAUGAAUAGUAGUAACAACGUAAAAACUAAAGCCAAUAUUUAGUGGUUACCGUGGGUCAUGUGCUUUAUACAAAUUAGUUCAUUUUGAGCCUCUGAGAAAAAAAGCAAAAAGACAUAGGUAGGUUAUUAUCCCUUUAACAACCUAGGAAGGGUAGGUGAGAUGGCUCAGUGGGGAAAAGUGCUUGCUGCUAACCGUGGCAACCUGAGUUCAAUCCCCAGGACCCAUGCCUGGGAAGGAAAAAAUUGACUCCUGGAAGUUGUCCUUUUUUUUUAAA